GCGGAGGGAUCAUUACUGAGUUUACGCUCUACAACCCUUUGUGAACAUACCUAUAACUGUUGCUUCGGCGGGUAGGGUCUCCGCGACCCUCCCGGCCUCCCGCCUCCGGGCGGGUCGGCGCCCGCCGGAGGAUAACCAAACUCUGAUUUAACGACGUUUCUUCUGAGUGGUACAAGCAAAUAAUCAAAACUUUUAACAACGGAUCUCUUGGUUCUGGCAUCGAUGAAGAACGCAGCGAAAUGCGAUAAGUAAUGUGAAUUGCAGAAUUCAGUGAAUCAUCGAAUCUUUGAACGCACAUUGCGCCCGCCAGCAUUCUGGCGGGCAUGCCUGUUCGAGCGUCAUUUCAACCCUCAAGCUCUGCUUGGUGUUGGGGCCCUACAGCUGAUGUAGGCCCUCAAAGGUAGUGGCGGACCCUCCCGGAGCCUCCUUUGCGUAGUAACUUUACGUCUCGCACUGGGAUCCGGAGGGACUCUUGCCGUAAAACCCCCCAAUUUUCCAAAGGUUGACCUCGGAUCAGGUA
rnacentral:rRNA from 1 species